GAUGAAGAACGCAGCGAAAUGCGAUAGGUAAUGUGAAUUGCAGAAUUCAGUGAAUCAUCGAAUCUUUGAACGCACAUUGCGCCCGCCAGUAUUCUGGCGGGCAUGCCUGUUCGAGCGUCAUUUCAACCAUCAAGCCCCAGGCUUGUGUUGGGGACCUGCGGCUGCCGCAGGCCCUGAAAACCAGUGGCGGGCUCGCUGUCACACCGGGCGUAGUAGAUUUUAUCUCGCUCAGGGCGUGCUGCGGGUUCCGGCCGUUAAAAAGCCUUUUUUACCCAAGGUUGACCUCGGAUCAGGUAGGAAGACCCGCUGAACUUAAGCAUAUCAAUAAGCGGAGGA
rnacentral:misc_RNA from 1 species